CUUUGAUUAAUUAGUGGUUUUAGUAAUUAGUACAGAUUCUGUACUAACAGCACUAAUUCUGUUCUGUGAUCGACACGGUUUAUAAAUCAAAGAAUCUUCCUGUUGAACCAGAGCUUUCGCAAUGUUUCAAUUCAUUAUUUACUGUCAAAGGCUUUGGAAUCCAGGGUAGUGCUAUCGUAACAAAAGAGGAACAUUUGUUUGCUUUUUGAAAUGAAAUAGAACAUAUAAUUAUAUCAUUUUAAUGACUUGCUUCCGAUUUUCAGAGAGGUCUUGGAAACAUUAUUAAUUGGUGAUACUUUUGAAAUAUUCAGCAACUUGCCGAUGAAAUUUUUAUAAAAUAUUGCCAUAAAAUAUAUAACAUUCUAAGACUAAGGCUAUAUAUAUAUUGAUACUAUUGAUACUAUAGUGCUGUUCCAACGUACAAUAAUGUGAAAAAAAGAAAAGAAAAAAAGAGAUGAAAAAGUUUUUUCAUCAAGUGAGAAAAAUUUCCGGAGAAACUUUCCAAAAUUAUUGUCGCUCCAAUAUUGUUUAGGUCCAUUUUUUAAGUAUUUUAUAAAGCGUAUGCUAUGUACGUGCUAAGAAGCUAGUUUUGUUGGCAUGUGGAAAGCAAAAGUAGCGAAGGUAAAGAGAUUAAAAUUGGAUUUAGUGCGUAUUUAUUAGCCCCCCCCCUCCCCCGUCGAUGACAUAGAGAUUAUAAAUAACACUAGAGGAGGCAUCGAGUUUAAAAAUUGGGAACGCAGCUAAUGGGGGGCAAAUUCAAGUCCCGGAUAUAAAAUCGUACUCUUAUUGGCUGAUUUGAAACUCGUCACCAAUGGGAACACAAAUACACAUCCGGGACUUAAAUUGUAGCCACGUUCCCUUUUCUUUACUGAAUUAAGAUUACGAUGCCUCCUCUAGUGUUAGGGACGGACCAUUAGAAAAGUGAUGGGGGGGGGGGGGCAAAACCAAAAAAAAAAAUUAUUUCCAGAAAAAAAUUAAGAAAAAAAAAAUCUUCCCAGGCAUAGUGCAAAAAAAAAUAAUUUCUUGCUUAGAAGAUAGGCCAAGUGGUGUAGUGGAGGGAGGGCUCGAGGGUGCUUAGCACCCCUUGUUAAAAUUUCAUGUUGACUUGGAGGGGCUGAGCCCCCCUAUGUUUUUGGCGCGUUGCAUAAUCUUAACAACGUCAAAAACACACACAAAAAUAUCAGUAAACGAGAAUGUUCUUUAGAAUUGUAUCUCAUUUUCAGUCAUCAUUUAACACAAUAAUGAUUUUUGUAAUCUUUAUACCGCGUUGUUCAUGCGCCGUAGCAAAUUGGCUGUUGAAAUACCGAUCCUGUUUUGUCUGAUUUAAACUCUAUCCAGGGCUGUAUCAACGGGAGGGGC